CUCUCUCUUUCUUUCCCUUCCCUCUCUAUCUCUCUGUAGGCCUCUCGGAUUUUAUUUCUCUCACCAAUAAAAAAAUAUUCUCCAAUUCUUUUCACCCGAAUAUUUUGAUUUUACUGUUUUACGGCAGUUAAUAUUUUUCAUUUUUAUUUAGUGCUGACGUGGCAUGCACCCAAUAGAGAAGCACCAUGAACACCAAAACGAUGCGUUUACCACCACGUCGCGUUCUCACGCCGGACAAGCGCAAAGAAAGAGACGGCGAUAUUUCAUCCGUCGUCAAAAAAUCGCCGGAAAUCGCCGUGACGAAGCUUCCUCCACCGCCGGGUAAUUCGAUUUCCAGAAAAUCUCCAAUUGCAGCCGAGUCGGUCGGCUCAAACCAGCUAAUGUUAGCCGGUUACUUGAGUCACGAGUUUCUCACCAACGGCACACUAUUCGGAGAGCAAUGGAAUUCGGUUCGAGCCCAAGUCGGUCCGCUUUCGGCCCAAUCGGUCGAGCCCAAGAUGUUAAAGCCGAGCCACACUAUUGAGCCGGCUGAGGAAAGUGAGCCGAAACGGAAGAGGUAUGCGGAGGUUGCUAGUCUCCUACGGGCAGAUGGAGCCCACUUGCCCGGCAUCGUCAAUCCUGCCCAGCUUGCCCGAUUUCUCAAACUGUGAUCGGCGUAAUCCCGUGGACACGUGGAGAUAUAUCAUUGGUCUGUCGCCCGGCAAGCAAGACUGCCCUAAAACCGGAACCUGCCCCUCCCUAUCUCUCUCUCUCUCCAUUUUUUUUUUCUUCAAAUGUUUUUCAAAUCCUCUCUGUAAAGCUGACUCUCGCUCUCUCUCUUCAUCGUCUUCCUUGAAAUUGACCGAGAAAGUUUAGGGUUUGUUUGUUGUGAGGUAGAUGGUCGCGUUUUGUACAUCAGAAAUAUCAAUUAGCCAAUGGAUUAUGUUCCCAAAUCAGAAAAACUUAUCUGCGAAUUUAGCCUUUUUGUGGAUUUUGAUGUUUGUGGAAGACAAAGAAUGCGUUUUGAGUGGUUUGUCGCGUUUGCGUUCGUAUCGAUCGUUCUCUGCGUCACGAGUUUAUAAUGAUCCGAAAACAC